GAAGUUAUCGUCUUCGGCCGCAAGCAGGGCGUUGGUAAAGUCUGUGGGGAUGUCGGUGAAGUCGAUGGGCGAGCGGCGCAUUUCACCGAAUUCGGCGAUCAGUUUGGCGUCGCUGCUGUAAACCCGCAGGGGGAUCUGCAGCUGGAUGCUACGAAGCGAUUCGACUGAUGGCAGGCUGGGGCUCAGAUAGAGGAACGCGCCGCUGAGACUGAGUAAUAGUCCACAAAAAACGGCGACACAAGACCAGCAAAAUAACUUCAGCAGACGCAUCAAAAUUUUUAGAUUUCCAGAUAA
rnacentral:antisense_RNA from 1 species